AAAUGGGUAAAAGAUGGAUAGGUGAUACCAAAGUCCGACGCUCUUAUAGGACAUAAGGAUAACGAGAAGAAGAAGAAGAUAAUUAUUCAGGAUACCCUAUCUCUGAGGACGACAGUUCAGCAUGAACGCUCAUAUCAAGUUUUGGUCGAUUUUUUAAUUUAGUGACCUUAUAGUUUUUUAGAUUAUCUCAAAUUAAUCAUACAAUUGAGGUCUUUAAUUUUACACUUUCUUUAAUAUUACUGUAAUAAACUAUAAUGUAAUUAUAAGUAUCCUACUCUAAUAUAUAUGUAUAGGUACAUUAAUUUAUACUCUAUUCCCACAAUUUACUCUAAGACUUUCUUUGCUCUGAGCUUCUCUGUGAUGAUUAUAUCGAUUUAUUUUGGGUUUUGGAAAUAAACACUUUUUGGAAAUUAUUUACCAGAAGUUAUUGAAUUUUAUUGUUCUACGCUUUUUUUUCGGGUUGUUUGGUCUUUAUUGUUUACGUUGGCGUUGAAAUUAUUGGUAUAAACACUGAAAGUUUAUUAACAACUAGAAUACAGUAUACAUCUUAAAAAAAGUUAAAUUUUCAGUUAUUUGUUUAGUAGGGAACACGAACCUUUUGGUCAUUACUUGUGUCUGAGUUAUUUUGUACCCUGCACUAAUUAGAAACGCACUUAGUAAAUUAUACUACUUUUUUGGUAUUUUUAUAAAUUAAUAGGUAGGCAUAGUUCGUGAAGAUUUUAACAAAUUUGUAUUUCUCGUCGAAACUGUGAGUUUUUAUAUUUAUACAUAAUUUUUUUCAGAUUUAUGAAAAAAAUUUAUUAAGUUAUUGCAUAUGAAACACUUUACAAAAGUUACUUUUUGUAGACAAAUUGUUUGAUGAUACCAGUCAUAGACAGUUACCAUUUAUUGUUGCUGUGAACAUUUUUAUCUUUUUUGUUAUUGAUAUGUCAUUGUGGUCAUAUACAUUCUAUAUUAGAAUUGACCUAACUUAAAAUAUAUCGCCAAGUAUUUUUCGACAAGAACUAAAAACGUUUUUGAAACAUUGCUGCCUGUAAAAUGUGGUAGCUUCGUCUGUUAUACAAAUGCAGGUUAUUUCUUUUGUUGAUUGUUUUUAUGUUUAUAUAGUCUAUUUUUGGUUGAAGUUAGUUUACUAGGCUUUAAAACCAUUGUUGAAAUUAAACUAAAAUUGUUACAGGUUAAACACUAUAUAUUGAAUUAGAUUCUGCAUAUUUGUAGUUCAAAACAGUAAAUUAAUAUACGAGUAAUAAAAUCAAGAUCCAUUU
rnacentral:lncRNA from 1 species